AGCCUCGUAUCUUAAUGGAUAAGAGUAUUUGACUACGGAUCAGAAGGGUGCGAGUUCGACUCUCGCCGGGGCUU
rnacentral:tRNA from 1 species